ACAGCCGUUGCACACGAGUCAGUCGAUCCUAAGCCCUAGGAGAGAUCCGAUGUCGAUGUGGGGGGCUAUUCGUAGCUCCUCCUCGAUGGGCGAAAGGGAAUCCGGUU
rnacentral:rRNA from 4 species